rnacentral:rRNA from 1 species
GUUGGCUCGGGUCGUGUAACACUUGCGGCCCAACGCGUCCGUCACCAUCUACUCGCCCUCGUUCGGGUAGCCACUCACAGAGUGAGAUACUAGAACUUCGAGUAGGCCUCAAGUGAUGUGUGACGACCCCCUGAAUUUAAGCAU